CCCACACACAUAGUUCAAUCGCCAUAGAGUCAAAGUUCUUACAGUCCUUCGGUAUACGAAUAACUCCAUGGGAAGGCUAUCUGGGUUAAGUCCUUUCGUAUGCUUCAAACCUCCCAAACGGCCGGUAUUCGUAUGCUUUCGUGGAGGCAGCCAGGCGUUCCAUUGUUUCAGCGGUGUUCGGCAGAAAAAGUGUCCGUUUUUAGUUCCAUAGAAAUAGAGCCAAACACCGCUGGGCUUUCGCAAGGUUUAAAAUGGCAG